rnacentral:rRNA from 1 species
CCUACGGGUGGCAGCAGUGGGGAAUAUUGCGCAAUGGGCGAAAGCCUGACGCAGCGACGCCGCGUGAGGGAUGAAGGUCUUCGGAUCGUAAACCUCUGUCAGCAGGGAAGAACGGUCACUGUGCUAAUCCGCAGUAAAUUGACGGUACCUGCAAAGGAAGCACCGGCUAACUCCGUGCCAGCAGCCGCGGUAAUACGGAGGGUGCGAGCGUUAAUCGGAGUUACUGGGCGUAAAGCGCUCGUAGGCGGUAUGUCACGUCAAGGGUGAAAUCCCCGCGCUAAACAUGUGAACUGCCUUUGAAACUGGCAAACUGGAGUGUGUGUGAGGAUAGUGGAAUUCGAGGUGUAGGAGUGAAAUGCGUAGAUAUCAGGAGGAACAUCAGUGGCGAAGGCGACUAUCUGGCACAUAACUGACGCUGAGGAGCGAAAGCGUGGGUAGCAAACAGGAUUAGAUACCCCGGUAGUC